rnacentral:tRNA from 1 species
GAAUAUAGUUGAGUGGUAGAAUACUUGCCUAGCAUGCAUGAAGCCUGAGUUCAGUCCCCAGUACA